CCUAGGGGGGCUGCAGUAGGGAAUAUUGCAAAAUGGGCGCAAGCCCGAUGCAGCAACGCCGCGUGGGCGAUGAAGGCCUUCGGGUCGUAAAGCCCUUUUUGAGGGGAUGAGGAAGGACAGUACCCUCAGAAUAAGCCUCGGCUAACUACGUGCCAGCAGCCGCGGUAAAACGUAGGAGGCGAGCGUUAUCCGGAUUUACUGGGCGUAAAGCGCGUGCAGGCGGAUUGGAGAGUUGGAUGUAAAAGCUCCCGGCUUAACUGGGAGAGGUCGUUCAAUACUUCCAGUCUUGAGUGCAGUAGAGGGAAGUGGAAUUCCGGGUGUAGUGGUGAAAUGCGUAGAUAUCCGGAGGAACACCAGUGGCGAAAGCGGCUUCCUGGACUGUAACUGACGCUCAGACGCGAAAGCUAGGGUAGCAAACGGGAUUAGAUACCCUGGUAGUC
rnacentral:rRNA from 1 species